AAGAAGUCCAGACCUCAAGCUCACUGGCUAGAAAGUCUUCUGCUUUCUAGACCAGCACAGUACUUGUUCCUGUGUUCUUAUGUUGCUUUGGGAACGUAGAACUAAGCCAUUAUUUCUGCCACAUCAGAAGCACUGAACAAUAUACCUUACAGGCUUGCGAAGAAUGUCAACAUAAGGAACAAAGCUGCCUCCUUUUACCCGUUCACAAAGUGCUUUACAACAACUAUCUUAUCCUCACAACAAUCCUGUAAGGGCAAUGUUUAUUGCAAAAAGUCAAGUUUCCAUGACUUCCUAUUUGAAAUAAGAACCCUCUGAGGAAAUGCAAGAGCCUAUUAGUUUUUCCUCAGUGUCAGCAGGCCCAACCCAGAGAACAGCAGUAGGUGACUUGACUUGUGAAACGAGAGUGAAACCAACAACAGAAAAAUGAAGCUUUUCCAGAUGAAUAUCUCUACCUCUCUGUACUGCACUGUUUAUCACUGUUCAUUUCAGUUUGUAGUUCUGGACAUUUAUCUGUGAUCCAUGCAAUUCUAAAUAAAACUAAAAAGAAAAAAACGAAGUUUUAUAGUAGAGUGGAAUGAGUACUGGACACAGGGUCUUGUGAUAUGAGUUUGAAUCCAGUCAGAGCCAUUUUACUAUAUUAGUUUUCACUUAAUCUGGGCAAGUCAUCUUGGCUCCAGUUCCCCGUCUAUAAAAUUGGAGUAGAGGAUGGGCAGAUAGCGUAGACUAAUAAAUGCAAGUUAGUCUCUGAGGCAAAAACACCACAGGUUCAAGUCCCACCUCUCACACAUAUGGGCUGCAUAAACCUGGAUUAAUUGCUUAAAUUCUUAAGUGUCCCAACUCAAGAGUUGCUGAUUUUCUUCCUUAGGAGUUCUCUACAUCAAUAAAAUCAGAAAUCUGAAACUCACAUACACAAAUACAGAGGAUAAAGCUUGUUAUUACAUUAGGCAGGCAGGUCACAAAUAUACUAAGCAUUGUCUUCACAUCAAGAGCAAAAACAGUUUCUGCCUCAAGCAACUCACAUUCUUAAUAAAGGAAAAAACAUGGAAAUGACAAGGUAUGUUGUUCAGUUAUGUCUGCCGCUUAUGACAUCAUAUGGUCUUUAAAAAAAAUAUUAGUCUUUUAUGGGUAUUUCCCUCCCUCUCCCAAUCCUGCCCUUGAGA